rnacentral:misc_RNA from 1 species
CCGAGUUUACAACUCCCAAACCCCUGUGAACAUACCUAUAUGUUGCCUCGGCGGAUCAGCCCGCUCCCGGUAAAACGGGACGGCCCGCCAGAGGACCCCUAAACUCUGUUUCUAUAUGUAACUUCUGAGUAAAACCAUAAAUAAUCA